UACGUAGGGUGCAAGCGUUAAUCGGAAUUACUGGGCGUAAAGCGUGCGCAGGCGGCUUUGCAAGACAGAUGUGAAAUCCCCGGGCUCAACCUGGGAACUGCAUUUGUGACUGCAUGGCUGGAGUGCGGCAGAGGGGGAUGGAAUUCCGCGUGUAGCAGUGAAAUGCGUAGAUAUGUGGAGGAACACCGAUGGCGAAGGCAGCCCCCUGGGUCAAAACUGACGCUCAUGCACGAAAGCGUGGGGAGCAAACAGG
rnacentral:rRNA from 1 species